GUAUGGGGUGGGGGUGGCGGUGGAGUGCGUCCUGGCGCAGAGCUGGCACACAGCACAAACAAACGCCUUGGCGGGAGUGGGUCUGUCCCGGAAGGGAGCCCAGGGGUUAUUGGGGUUGGGGCUGCGCCCCAAAGCGGGAGGGCCCUGCGAGAAGGGAGGCCCUGGCUGGAGGGGGUCCCUGAGACUGGAGGUGCCGGACCCGGAUGCGGGGCCAGAUGGAGACAACAGGAAGGAAAGAGACCUUCCUCGUCACACUUGGGCCGCAGGAGAACAGGCAGCGGCCCAGGAGGAUCCAGGGUCCUGAUGGUGGUUGAGAAGCUGGUUCUUAGUGAUCACUCAGAAACGUCGGCCUGGCCUUGUGGGGUCAGACCUUGCAUCUCAGUCAGCCCAGGGAGAAGAAGAAGAUGGU
rnacentral:antisense_RNA from 1 species